CUGAUAUAAAUCCUUCAUCCUUUUCGUGGAAUAUCAGAUAAGUAGCACUAAAGCUGUGAAACCAAUGAAGG
rnacentral:ribozyme from 1 species